rnacentral:rRNA from 1 species
AUGGCCACAAUGGCGCCCUUGUGCGCCCUGAUGUCUUGGCCCCUGUACACCGCUGACAAUUCCUUUGACCGCUUCUUGUAUGGCCUGACCUUGACCCUGUCAACGGCCUUCCCGGGCUUCCCGGCGCAGCUCCGGCAGGAGCUGGAGGAGGUGGAAUUCGCCUCGUCGUCGUCCUCAGCGUCGACGACGCAGGCGCCGACGCCCAGCCUCCGGAGCCACCCGAACCGCCGCCUCCUCCGGCGCCUCGACUUCUCCGGGGUGGAGGGCUCGUCCGAGGAGUCGUCCACCCGGCGCAUCAUCUCGCGGAUGAACGGGGAGGAGCCGGAGAUCCUCUCGAAUUCCGCGGCGGUGACGGUCCGGUUGGAGCGGCGCUCCCGGAGGCUCCGGAAGCUGCCGUCCUUGCCCAGCUCGUGGACGACGAAGACCGUGCCGUCGUCCAGGUUCUUGAACACGCACUCCAGGCCGUCCUCGCCGCCGCCGCCGCCGCCGCUUCGGCCGGGCGCCCCCGCCUCCUCCCCCUCCCCGGCAGCCCCGCGCGCGAGACGAGGGGCGGGCGAGGCCGGCGCCGCGGCGGGGCUGGCCAGGACGAUCUCCAAGCUGGCGCGGGGCAUCGGGCGCGGCCCCGAUUCUCCCGGAUCCAGGAGGCCCAGGGAGCGGACGAACCGCUCGCGGCGCUCCUCGACGCUGAAGGGGCCCGUGGCCCAGACCUCGAGCAGGGCCCCGCCGCAGAGCAAAACGCCGUCGCCGUCGCCGGCGCCGCUGUGGCGGCCGGAGCUGGCCGGCGAGGCGACGGAGGGCGGCGAGAUGGUCUCCCUGGAGUCGAAGAACUCCUCGUCGCCCGCGUCCAGCGAGCGCGUCCGCGCCAUGGGGACGCCCACACGACCAAGCCGAGGCGCCACCACCAGUUCACCACCACCACCACGCCGUCCCCCCAAAGGACCGAGCUUUAGCGGGGGGGAGGCGCGGCACCCGGUCCUUUAUGGCGCGCCCACUGCGUGGCAGCCUCUGCCUGCCUCUCUCUCCCCCUUUCUCUGUCCUGUUGGGGACGGAGGACGGAUGAUGCAGUGGCACCCAGUGGUACUACCCCGCCGCUCGCUCGCUCGCUCGCUCUGCUCUGCUCUCUCUCGUGGGCCUGAGCCGGGCGUCAACAAGGAGCGGAAGGGAACCAACCAACCAUCCACCACCACGGCGCCCAAAAGCAAGCAGUAG